rnacentral:lncRNA from 1 species
AAGCGAAGUCUUCAUUCUUUAUCUGACCCAUCAUGUGAGAAUUUUCACCAUAUCACUGGCUUAAAGCGGAUAAUAGGUAUAGGUUACAUGUUGAAAGAGACAGGGAGCAUGUCAGCCACACUCCAUAGUGAGGUUUUUUGUUUGUUUGUUUUUUGCAGCACCAGGGAUCGAACUCGGGACCUUGUGCUUGCGAGGCAGGCAGCAGAACCGCUGAGCUAACUCCCUGGCCGUCAUAUAAUGAGUUUAAUGAACAAGUCAAACUCAUUUUCCAGAGUUCUGUCAGACCUUGAGGAAACACAAAUGGAUAGCAAUACAAAACAGCAGAUUAUCAGAAAUGAGGCCAAUUGUUUGUUGAAUAAUUUGAACAGCAUUGCUGAGGAAAAAAUGUCACCCAGAAAAACCCUAGGAUCAGUGUGGAAGAUGAAGUGGGGAUAGAUUGACAUCAGAGAGACAGGAUCAUUAACAAGAAGCCAGGUGGAAAGUGAUGAUGGACUGAAUUUAGUGCUGAAAUUAGAUAUGCAAGAUGUGAAGACGGUGGGACCUACAAGACUCCCUGACUUUGGAUGUGUAAGGAGAAAUGUAGCAGUAUUUUUACUUCUUCCUUUCAGUACUAAAUGGAUGGUAGAAUGUUAUAGCAGGAUAUUUUACAAUAUUAUUCUAGUUUUGGAUAUGUUGAGUUUCAGGCA